AGCGAACGCUGGCGGCAGGCUUAACACAUGCAAGUCGAGCGGGCACCUUCGGGUGUCAGCGGCAGACGGGUGAGUAACACGUGGGAACGUACCCUUCGGUUCGGAAUAACGCUGGGAAACUAGCGCUAAUACCGGAUACGCCCUUAUGGGGAAAGGUUUACUGCCGAAGGAUCGGCCCGCGUCUGAUUAGCUAGUUGGUGGGGUAACGGCCUACCAAGGCGACGAUCAGUAGCUGGUCUGAGAGGAUGAUCAGCCACACUGGGACUGAGACACGGCCCAGACUCCUACGGGAGGCAGCAGUGGGGAAUAUUGGACAAUGGGCGCAAGCCUGAUCCAGCCAUGCCGCGUGAGUGAUGAAGGCCUUAGGGUUGUAAAGCUCUUUUGCCCGGGACGAUAAUGACGGUACCGGAAGAAUAAGCCCCGGCUAACUUCGUG
rnacentral:rRNA from 1 species